rnacentral:rRNA from 1 species
UACGUAGGUGGCAAGCGUUGUCCGGAUUUACUGGGCGUAAAGAGCGCGCAGGCGGUCGUUCAAGUCGCGUGUGAAAGCCCCCGGCUCAACUGGGGAGGGUCACGCGAUACUGCUCGACUCGAAGGCAGGAGAGGGAAGUGGAAUUCCCGGUGUAGUGGUGAAAUGCGUAGAUAUCGGGAGGAACACCAGUGGCGAAGGCGGGUUGCUGGGCUGACACUGACGCUGAUGCGCGAAAGCUAGGGGAGCGAACGGG